rnacentral:rRNA from 1 species
AUUGAACGCUGGCGGCAUGCCUUACACAUGCAAGUCGAACGGUAACAGGCCGCAAGGUGCUGACGAGUGGCGAACGGGUGAGUAAUGCAUCGGAACGUGCCCAGUCGUGGGGGAUAACGCAGCGAAAGCUGUGCUAAUACCGCAUACGAUCUAUGGAUGAAAGCGGGGGACCGUAAGGCCUUGCGCGAUUGGAGCGGCCGAUGUCAGAUUAGGUAGUUGGUGGGGUAAAGGCUCACCAAGCCAACGAUCUGUAGCUGGUCUGAGAGGACGACCAGCCACACUGGGACUGAGACACGGCCCAGACUCCUACGGGAGGCAGCAGUGGGGAAUUUUGGACAAUGGGCGCAAGCCUGAUCCAGCAAUGCCGCGUGCAGGAAGAAGGCCUUCGGGUUGUAAACUGCUUUUGUACGGAACGAAACGGUCUGGGUUAAUACCCUGGGCUAAUGACGGUACCGUAAGAAUAAGCACCGGCUAACUACGUGCCAGCCGCCGCAGUAA